rnacentral:rRNA from 1 species
CCUACGGGGGGCAGCAGUGAGGAAUCUUGCGCAAUGGGAGCAAUCCUGACGCAGCGACGCCGCGUGAAUGAUGAAGGCCUUCGGGUUGUAAAGUUCGAUAAGCAGGGAAGAAUAAGCGCCGGGUAAUAUUCGGCGUGAUGACGGUACCUGCCUAAAGCCCCGGCUAACUACGUGCCAGCAGCCGCGGUAAUACGUAUGGGGCGAGCGUUGUUCGGAAUUAUUGGGCGUAAAGGGCGCCUAGGCGGGGGACUAAGUUAGUUGUGAAAGCUAUGGGCUCAACCCAUAAAUUGCAUCUAAGACUGGUUCUCUUGAGUUCGGGAGAGGAGAGCGGAAUUCCAGGUGUAGCGGUGAAAUGCGUAGAUAUCUGGAAGAACACCAGUGGCGAAGGCGGCUCUCUGGCCUAGAACUGACGCUGAAGCGCGAAAGCGUGGGGAGCGAACAGGCUUAGAUACCCCGGUAGUC